rnacentral:rRNA from 1 species
UACGGGGGGGGCAAGCGUUGUUCGGAAUUACUGGGCGUAAAGGGCUCGUAGGCGGCCAACUAAGUCAGACGUGAAAUCCCUCGGCUUAACCGGGGAACUGCGUCUGAUACUGGAUGGCUUGAGUUCGGGAGAGGGAUGCGGAAUUCCAGGUGUAGCGGUGAAAUGCGUAGAUAUCUGGAGGAACACCGGUGGCGAAGGCGGCAUCCUGGACCGAAACUGACGCUGAGGCGCGAAAGCGUGGGGAGCAAACAGG